AUUGAACGCUGGCGGCAGGCCUAACACAUGCAAGUCGAGCGGAUGAAGGGAGCUUGCUCCUGGAUUCAGCGGCGGACGGGUGAGUAAUGCCUAGGAAUCUGACUGGUAGUGGGGGAUAACGUCCGGAAACGGGAGCUAAUACCUCAUACGUCCUGAGGGAGAAAGUGGGGGAUCUUCGGACAUCACGCUAUCAGAUGAGCCUAGGUCGGAUUAGCUAGUUGGUGGGGUAAAGGCCUACCAAGGCGACGAUCCGUAACUGGUCUGAGAGGAUGAUCAGUCACACUGGAACUGAGACACGGUCCAGACUCCUACGGGAGGCAGCAGUGGGGAAUAUUGGACAAUGGGCGAAAGCCUGAUCCAGCCAUGCCGCGUGUGUGAAGAAGGUCUUCGGAUUGUAAAGCACUUUAAGUUGGGAGGAAGGGCAGUAAGUUAAUACCUUGAUGUUUUGACGUUACCAACAGAAUAAGCACCGGCUAACUUCGUG
rnacentral:rRNA from 1 species